AUUGAACGCUGGCGGCAGGCCUAACACAUGCAAGUCGAACGAGUGGCGGACGGGUGAGUAAUGUCUGGGAAACUGCCCGAUGGAGGGGGAUAACUACUGGAAACGGUAGCUAAUACCGCAUACCAUCGGAUGUUCCCCGUGGGGCUUAGCUAGUAGGUGGGGUAACGGCUCACCUAGGCGACGAUCCCUAGCUGGUCUGAGAGGAUGACCAGCCAAACGGGAAAGGAGAGACGGGCCAUACUCCUACGGGAGGCAGGAGUGGGGAAUAUUGCACAAUGGGCGCAAGCCGGAUGCAGCCAUGCCGCGUGUAUGAAGAAGGCCUUCGGGUUGUAAAGUACUUUCAGCGAGGAGGCGGUACUCGCAGAAGAAGCACCGGCUAACUCCGUGCCAGCAGCCGCGGUAAUAC
rnacentral:rRNA from 1 species